rnacentral:lncRNA from 1 species
AUGGCUCCUUAUUUAGAUCAGACAUCUGCUCUUCCAAAUGCACUUUUUUCCACUUGCAAUAAUGGUUCCCAGGGAAGGGCUGCGGGUACUGAUGGGACUGACGGUGGAUGGAAAAACCCAGGCUUUCUGUGUGCCACGCAGCGAUGUUCAGUAACGUCAAAAAUGAAGCCUUUUCCUAUAAAAGGGAUCAACCCAGGCACUACAGGAGUUCCUGGAGGAUACUGGUCUGAAGUUAGCAUGAUCUUGACCCAAGAAACUUACAGUCCUGAUAAGAACUUCCAUCAGAACUCCAGAUGUAAUCCUGGAAAAUUGAUCGACAAAAGCAAAGGACCAAGAAAGCUGCUUAUACCAGUGUCUCCUCCCACCCUCAGCCUCCAGUAGCAUUGCUAUAUUUUUCAGUUUUAUUUGUGUCACUUUAAAUAAGGUAAGCUCUCCUUUGCUGUUCUGGUGUAUUUAGACAUACACGUAUUUUGCUAUCUUGGGUUCUCAUGAUUAUACUCUUACAUCUUUGCACACUUCAUUUGGACCCCUUCCUACUACUUUGAUUUCCCCAUGACUUUGGAGAAAUAAACCCACUUGGCUCUCCUCUCCCUGGUUGCUUUCUCCACUCAUUCUAGCAUCUCUUUGCUCCAUAAAAUUAUGCUCAAUCAAGUAUCACAUUAUUUUUAUCUUUAGUUGUAUAUGUCGUUCCUGUGUCAAAGAGCUUACCCUGUGGGUGCUGUCCAGCCAUCCUGAACAUUUUGCAAGGCAAAUUUAUUUAUUUAUUAUUUUAAGACAGGGUCUCACUGUGUCACCCAGGCUGGAGUGCAGUGGUGUGAUCAUGGCUUACUGCAGCCUCGAACUUCUGGGCUCAAGCAAUUCCCCCACCUUAGCCUCCCAAGUAGCUGGGACUCCAGGCAGGCACCGCCAUGCCCAGUUAACUUUUUAAAUGUUUUUCUAGAGACGAGGUCUCACUAUGCUGCCCAGGGUGGUCUUGGGCUUCUGGGCUCAAGUAAUCCUCUUGCUUUGGCCUCUUAAAAGUGCUGGGACUACAGGCGAGGGCCACCGUGCCCGACGUGGCAAAUUUAUUGAAAAUUGGAGCAAUAUUGAUCCUCUUUGUAUCCCAGUGACUAGCAAGAAGGUAAGAUACCAUGAUUGGCUCAUCACAGCUACUACCUGUAAAUACACUUCUGUGUUAUUCAAACCAGGAGUCAGGAAGGAAAACUAAUUGAAAACUACCUUCUGAGUAUCUGAAUUGGACAAUUGCUGGGGGGAACAGAAUGACAAAGAAGCAGUACCUGCUCCCUAAAGGAGCUUCCCAUCUGCCAGGGGUGCCAAACCAUGAACACAUAGAAAGGUGAAUAGCCACAGCAUGGCAGGCAGGGUAAUGACACCCCUAAAAUGUCCACACCCUGAUCCCCAAACCUGUGAAUAUUAACUUACAUGACAAGAGGAAUUUUGCAGAUGAGAUUAAGGUAAAGCUCUGAGGUGGGAAGAUGGGCCUAGAUUAUCCAGGUGGGCCCAGUGUAGUCAAUGGGGUCCUGGUAAGUGGAAAAAAGAGUCAAGACAGUUGGAGUUAUGCGUGUUAAGAUCGGACAGGGCUGUCUUUGGAAGACGAGAGGGGCCUUGAGCCAAGGAGCGAGAGCAUCUCUGGAAGCUGGCCAAGGCGGGAGGGAACACAGCCCUGUCUACACCCUGAUUUUAAAGGACUUCUGACCUUCAGACUGUAGGAUAACACAGUUGGGUUGUUUUAAGCCACUAAGCUUGUGGAAAUUUGCUAUAGUAGCAUUUGGAAACUAAUACAAAUAGCAAAGUUAAGUGAGAUAAGAAUCCGAAAAAAAAGUGUCAUAGGUCAAUGAGCCAGAAAUCGCCACAUACGGGAGUUUCUACUGCAGUCUCAUAUGUUCAUCCGCCUCAUCGCCCACGAAAACUCUCAUCUCUGGAAAAUGAAGCGUGAAAAGUAAUUAGCUUAUGGGAAAAGUAGAGGCAGACCUUUCAAGACCUAUGGAACUUAUAACCAGAGCCUUGUCACUGUUACCAAGAACAGUAACGAUGUUAACUGAAAUAUCAGCUGGCAUCUCAUCUCCCUCCCACAGUACAUCCUUUGCAGUUUUAUACCUUGAGCUUCUGGUUUCCUCCUUGAGAAUGGAGCAUUCUUUUUUUUUUUUUCAACUUUUAUUUUAGAAUUAGGGGGUACAUGGGCAAAUUUAUUACAAAGCUAUAAUUUCAUGAUACUGAGGUUUGGAGUACAAAUGAAUCUGUCGCCCAGGUAGUGAGCAUAGUACUCAAUAGAUAGUGUUUUUAACCCUUAACCCCCUCUCCUUCUCCUGCCUCUUGUGUUCCCCAGUGUCUACCAUGCCCAUUUUUUGACCAUGUGUACCUAAUGUUUAGCUCCCACUUAUAAGUGAGAACAUGCAGUAUUUGGUUUUCUGUUUAUGAAUUAAUUAGCUUAGAAUAAUGGCCUCCAGGUGCAUCCAUGUUGCUGCAAAAGAUGUGAUCUCAUUCUUUUUUUAUGGCUG